rnacentral:tRNA from 1 species
GGAGAGUUGUCUGAGUUCGGUUUAAGGUACCAGUCUCGAAAACUGGAGUAGGUUGUUCCUACCGUGGGUUCAAAUCCCACACUCUCCGCCA